UAGGGAAUCUUCGGCAAUGGGGGGAACCCUGACCGAGCAACGCCGCGUGAGUGAAGAAGGUUUUCGGAUCGUAAAGCUCUGUUGUUAAGGAAGAACGAGUGUGAGAAUGGAAAGUUCAUACUGUGACGGUACUUAACCAGAAAGGGACGGCUAACUACGUGCCAGCAGCCGCGGUAAUACGUAGGUCCCGAGCGUUGUCCGGAUUUAUUGGGCGUAAAGCGAGCGCAGGCGGUUAGAUAAGUCUGAAGUUAAAGGCAGUGGCUCAACCAUUGUAGGCUUUGGAAACUGUUGAACUUGAGUGCAGAAGGGGGAAGUGGAAUUCCAUGUGUAGCGGUGAAAUGCGUAGAUAUAUGGAGGAACACCGGUGGCGAAAGCGGCUCUCUGGUCUGUAACUGACGCUGAGGCUCGAAAGCGUGGGGAGCGAACAGG
rnacentral:rRNA from 1 species